GACGAACGCUGGCGGCGUGCUUAACACAUGCAAGUCGAACGGAAAGGCCCUGCUUUUGUGGUGUUCUCGAGUGGCGAACGGGUGAGUAACACGGGAGUAACCUGCCCUUGACUUUGGUAUAACUUCGGGAAACUGGGGCUAAUACCGUAUAGGAGCUCCUGCUGCAUGGUGGUGGUUGGAAAGUUUCGGCGGUUGGGGAUGGACUCGCGGCUUAUCAGCUUGUUGGUGGGUUAGUGGCUUACCAAGGCUUUGACGGGUAGCCGGCCUGAGAGGGUGACCGGCACCAUUGGGACUGAGAUACGGCCCAGAUUCCUCCGGGAGGAAGAAGUGGGGAAUAUUGAAAAAUGGGGGGAAGCCUGAUGAAGCACCGCCGCGUGCGGGAUAAGGGCCUUCGGGUUGUAACCCGUUUUCGCCUGUGACGAAGCGUGAGUGACGGUAAUGGGUAAAGAAGCACCGGCUAACUACGUG
rnacentral:rRNA from 1 species